AAACAGGGAGCAAUGGUGUUGUGU
rnacentral:siRNA from 1 species